rnacentral:rRNA from 1 species
ACGCUCGACACCUACGGGGGCAGCAGUGAGGAAUAUUGGUCAAUGGGCGCUAGCCUGAACCAGCCAAGUAGCGUGAAGGAUGAAGGCUCUAUGGGUCGUAAACUUCUUUUAUAUAAGAAUAAAGUGCAGUAUGUAUACUGUUUUGUAUGUAUUAUAUGAAUAAGGAUCGGCUAACUCCGUGCGAGCAGCCGCGGUAAUCUGAGCGGGCUGGCAAGGC